CACCCCCAGUCCAGCCACCACCUCAUCCCAGGGCUGAGCCACGGGAGCAGGAAAGGGCUGUACGGGAGCAGUGGGCAGAACGGGAACGGGAAAUGGAGCGGCGGGAGAGGACUCGGUCUGAGCGAGAAUGGGAUCGGGACAAAGUUCGAGAGGGGCCCCGCUCCCGAUCACGGUCCCGUGACCGCCGCCGCAAAGAGCGAGCAAAAUCUAAAGAAAAGAAGAGUGAGAAGAAAGGUACUUAGCUGGGAGGAGGGUCAGGGACCAGAUGGGUUGGCUCACAGGAUUUUAUGAUUCAGAUCUGGUUUAAUUCCUUCCACCUCAGAGAAAGCUCAGGAGGAGCCGCCUGCCAAGUUGCUGGAUGACCUCUUCCGUAAGACCAAGGCAGCUCCCUGCAUCUAUUGGCUCCCACUGACUGAGAGCCAGGUGAGUGCUCUUCAUGCUCAACAGUGGGUGGAGCUGCUCAUCACCCAGGAGACCAACAUGACUGACGGUGUAGGCCCUGGCAGGCUUAGGAAAGGAAGAGAUGAAGCAGGAGAGUGACUUAGGAGGUCGGGCACUGUAGAGAAAGUGAAAGUGGCGGCAAAGGCAGGAUGUGGAAUUUGAGAAGCUAUUACCCAAACUUCUUGGAACUUGAUUUGUUAGCUGAGAAAUGCAUGCUUUAUAAAAUCUUCUUUAUAAAUGCAU
rnacentral:lncRNA from 1 species